UUAAAACAGAAAGAAAAAUCGGGAAGAGCGAUCUAUUCUUCCUCCUCCCCCUUCUUCGCGCGCGCACAGUAACCGGAGAAGACAAUCCGGCAAAUCCGACGCCGUUCAGCCACCUCAGGUCGUUCCAUCGGUCGGAGAGCUCCCUCUUUCCCUCCUUAUCCAUCUCCGCUUGAUUUGGCCGGAGGAAGUGAGAUUGAUGAUGAACAGUGGCGAUCGGAUUUCCAGAUUUUGGAGUGAAUUUCCGACCACUUCUGCUUAGUUUUUGUUGUUAUUGCAGGUAUAAAGAUGGCUGGGCUUGUUGUGGAGAUAGUGUAGGUGAAUUUUGGUGGCCGGAUUUGGGUGUUGGAGUGGUGGCACGUGAAGCCACGCGCCGCUGCUGCCGGUGGUGGUGAGGAGGCUCUGCAAGCCCCUCCAAAACCCAUUCGAUUGAUUUUGAGUUAUGUUUUGGAUUUGAAGUUGUUUGGAUAGUGAAAUUCCAUGGAAAUUUGAUGUUGGACUUGGAUGUUUUGAAUCUUAUGAUUUAUAAAUUUUAUGAGUUAAAUCUCUUGAUUAAA